CAGCAGCCGCGGUAAUACGUAGGGUGCAAGCGUUAUCCGGAUUUAUUGGGCGUAAAGGGUUUCGUAGGCGGUUUGGUAAGUAAAAGGUUAAAGCUCCGGGCUCAACUCGGAAAAAGCUUUUUAAACUACCAGACUAGAAAGUUGUCGGGGAGGCUGGAAUUCUGCAUGUAGGGGUGAUAUCCAUUGAUAUGCAGAGGAACACCGAGGGCGAAGGCAGGCCUCUAGGCAAGUAUUGACGCUAAGGAACGAAAGCUAGGGUAGCAAAGCGGAUUAGAGACCCGUGUAGUCCUAGCCGUAAACGAUGUCCGCUAGUUGGGGGUUGUUUUACAAUCCCUGACGCAAGGUAACCCGUUAAGCGGACCGCCUGGGAAGUACGGCCGCAAGGCUAAAACUCAAAGGAAUUGACGGGGAGGCGCACAACCAGUGGAGCAUGUGGUUUAAUUCGACACGAAGCGUAGAACCAUACCUGGACUUGACAUUCCGACGAACGCCCUAAGAAAUUGGGGCUUUCCGACUUUAGUCAGAACGGCGGAACAGCUGCUGACUGGCUGGCGUCAGCUCGUGCCGUGGGGUGUUCCCUUAAGUGGGGUAACGAGCGCAACCCUUGCCCUGUGUUAAAUUUGUACAGGGGACUGCUUCGUUUAAUCGGGAGGGAAGGGAGGAUGACGUCAGUUCAGCAUGGGUGUUAUGUCCCAGGCAACACACAUCUUACAAUGGCAGACAACGGGUGGCCAAGCAGCAAGGUGGAGCUAAUCCCUUUAAACUUGUCCUCAGUUCAGAUUGGGGGCUGAAACUUGCCCCCAUGAAGUUGGAAUUGGUAGUAAUAGCAGGUCAGCAGACAUGCGGUGAAUACGUUGUCGCCUCUUGUACACACCGCCCGUCAAGUGAGGAAAGUUGGAGGUGGCCGAAGUCUGGUCGGAUUUGUCGACUGGCCUAAGCCAAACUCAGCGAUCAGCACUAAGUCGUAACAAGGUAACCGUA
rnacentral:rRNA from 1 species